ensembl:lncRNA
UCUUUUGGAUUAAAGGUGUGGAGGAUCAACACAAAACAUGAUAUUAUUUAUGUACAUGGCUCUGUUCCGGGUCACACAAAUUGUCUGGUGAAGAGAUACAAAGCUGCGUGUUUACAAAGACUGCAAUAAAAACCCUCCUUUCCCCACGUUUUUUGCUGAUGGAGAUGAAAAACUACCAGAAGACUUGUAUGACCAGGACAUGUUCCAGUUCACAGAUCCAUCGGUCACAUAUGCAUAAUGUUUUUGACACCUUUGAAAACGCAGAAUUUUGUUAUUUUCAUCAACUUUGCAAUGCUGUAUAAAAGUAAACCAAUGAAUUGCAAUCCGACCAACUGACCCGGACAUUUCAUAUAGUGCUGUUUUGGUCAGGUAAAAACUUAAGACUAUUGAUAAUUCAGCAGGUGACAGGCUGCAAAGCUUAUCACCUGUUUGUCUUCAGUGAUCUUUUGUCCUGUGCCACAGACUGUGAAAACUGUCACAUUUCUGGAAACAAUUGGAGAUGGCCUUAGUUUGAUCUUCUGAAUACUACCAAACUGGUUUUGUCCUCUGUGGAAACUAAUCUGGCCAACUCUGAUCAGUCAAAAAAAACCUUUCCGAUGUGCUUUAGCAUCUGAGGGGGUGAAUAAAUCGGAUGCAAAUCCAACUUAGUAAAGAAUAGUUCAGAAUAAAAAGGGAAAAUAUAUUGAUCUGUAGCAACCUGGGCUUGUUUUAUUUCCUUCUUUUCAUCAGAGCAAUUUCCUUUCGCUUUAAUGUUGUUCUGAGUUGAAUUAGCAGAUACCCAUCAAGUUUCAUAGAGGAGGGAUCAUGUCAACCAUUGUCUGUCUCUUCAGAGAGCGCCUACAGUGUGUAUGGUAAGGAGCUGUUCAGGUGGGAAACGCUCAGUAACAAAGAAUCACUAAGACUGCAGUGGCCACCUGUUGGCCACUUUCACUGAUAGCUUCUUCACAGAGGCUCCCUUGCAUGUUCUCUGGAGUCACAUCACUGCAUCUACAGUUGUCUCUGCCUUGGAUUCUUGUGGUGUUACGGGAGAGCCUUCAUAAAACAGGUCGAAUGUGAAGGAUUUCUCUUUAUGCUAAUGAUUAUUUUUCUCCUACUCUACCUUUUAAUAGUGGGCUUCUGUACACUCCUUUUAUUCUUCAUGUGAUUUUCUGUUUAUAAGUCUGGUCUUCUGGACGCUGUAAAUCCUCUCAUGUACAGAAGCAGGUGUCUGUGUAACUGUCAGGGUGCCAUCUGAACGUUUAUUUACAAGCCCUACAGUAGUUAAAGAAUGUACAUCUCUUGAGCUACUAUUAAUAUUUUAGUAGUGCUGUCUGUUCAUCUUUGCAGCUUCAUCGCAAGAUGUCACAUACCUUAAAAAAAUCCUUACUGAUACCAAUAUAAAAGGGAUGUUCUUGUCUUUAUGAAAUCUCUGCCAGUCCCUGAGGUUAUUUUGAAUUUUUUGUAAUAGCUUGAAGAAAUCCCAUGCUAUCUUAAAAGAGGCUUUAUAUAGCUACAGCAUUGAAGUAGUCUGAGAGAGAUCAUUGGAGACCGAGGUAUGAAAAUGUGAUCAGGUAAAUGUCUACAUCCUGGCAAUACUCUCUUAGUUGGAUUCAGCCAAAUUUAAAAUCAAAUAUCUGAUUUAAUCAGCAUACACAAUAACAGCAUUCCCCUUCUGCUGCCCCUUCAGUAACAGUGGCUCUGCAAGUACAGGCAUCUCACAGCACAUGUGAUGCAAUAACCCAUACAGUGUAGCAAACAAGCAGCAGUAUGCAAUGUUUUGGCUGCAAUGCUAGCAGUGAGUGCAGUCUGUCACACGUACAGGAUAGUUGUUAUUUCCUGAAGAGAUCUUUGAUCUUCCAUUUCCUGAUAAUGCAGCAGAGUUUAGAAGUUGCAGCAUUUCAAUACUUGCUGUCAAACAUGUGUAGAUCAGGAGCUUUCCAACUGCCUAGUUUGUGUCCUGCUCUGGUUAACAAAAUAAUUCUGGUGCACACAAACUCUGCAUGAGGAGAUCACUUCAUGCCUGUAUGGAAACAGCAUAGCAAGUACAGGAGAGCUGUGAGUAUCGUGCAGGACGCUGUUGGGCUGGGCUUGCACUGCUGCUAAAAAGGGGAGGAGGGAGGUGGUAGGGAGCUGCUUGCCUGGGGCGGGAGUCAAAGCCCUGGAGCUACUCCUGGGAGCUGCUUAAUAAGUCUCCAGGGUGUCAUUCAGUUGGUUUGUACUUACGUUUUGUUUGUUGGUUUGUUUUUACUUGGACUUUACCCUGGACUGUCAGUGAUGAGAUCAUGACACAGAAAUAUACGUUCUCCUACUUAGUUCCUCAGCCAAAGGUUCCAGGACUGUGAGAUUCUCUCCAGUACUUCCUUAUAUUUUGAAUGAGCUUUCAGUGCUUGCCUUGGUAAACACCAAGGAUCAAAUGUGAGCUUAAAGGGUACCAUAGAUUUAGAAAAAUAAAUGUGAAUUCAAAUGAGACUUCAACAUGAGGAGAAUGUUGGCAACCUGCUUCAGUUGCUGUUUCUGUUUCUCCCUAUUUGCCAUUAGUCCUCCCGUCUCUUAUGCUAAGGAAUAGGUUUCUUUUGCUCAAAAGGCAAACCAAAGGCUCUGUUGCAAGUGGAUGCCUGUGCAUACUGUUACUUUUCCAAAGAUUUAAAGUUCUCUGCUGCCAGGAAAUGUACUCAGGCAGUUACAGAAUGGUAAAAUAAAGACUCUUUGUCCGUAUUACCUGUAGACUAUUAAAGAAGGAGCAGAACAUGUUACCAGGAAAAAGACCGUGAUUGUGAGUAGAUCUAUUGACUGCUCUACUUUCUUGCCAUCUCAGCAGGAAGCCUACUGUGCAGCAGUUCUUAGAUAUCCUGGCAAAACAAUCCUAUACACCAGUAUGCUCCCUGGGGAUUCAGUUGUGCCCAGACUUGGGGACAAAGGCAGAUUGCAGGCAAUUUAUUUCAUCCUUAGCCUGUUAUCUGUAUCCAUUUGUGACUGAAAGGACUGUUGAUUUAGCUCUGAGCCUCAUGUCCACUGUUGCUUGCUGGGGGAGGAGGGAUAAGCAUCAGCUGUAUCCAUGACGGCAUGGCGUGACUGCUUUGAAAAAUAAAUACUCUUGAUUAAUAA